rnacentral:rRNA from 1 species
GACGAACGCUGGCGGCGUGCUUAACACAUGCAAGUCGAACGGUAAGGCCCUUCGGGGUACACGAGUGGCGAACGGGUGAGUAACACGUGGGUGAUCUGCCCUGCACUUCGGGAUAAGCCUGGGAAACUGGGUCUAAUACCGGAUAGGACCACUGCCUGCAUGGGUGGUGGUGGAAAGCUUUUGCGGUGUGGGAUGGGCCCGCGGCCUAUCAGCUUGUUGGUGGGGUGAUGGCCUACCAAGGCGACGACGGGUAGCCGGCCUGAGAGGGUGACCGGCGACACUGGGAGUGAGAUACGGCGCAGACUCCUACGGGAGGCAGCAGUGGGGAAUAUUGCACAAUGGGCGCAAGCCUGAUGCAGCGACGCCGCGUGAGGGAUGACGGCCUUCGGGUUGUAAACCUCUUUCAGCACCGACGAAGCGCAAGUGACGGUAGGUGCAGAAGAAGGACCGGCCAACUACGUGCCAGCCGCCGCAGUAA